UAUAUUAUGGUGUUAAGAUGCACGUAAAUUUUUGAAAUUUAAAGGUAUAGUUUAAAUCUAUAAAAUAUAA
rnacentral:tRNA from 1 species